AGGGCGCAUGGUGGAUGCCUUGGCAUGCUGAGCCGAUGAAGGACGUGUAAGGCUGCGUUAAGCCUCGGGGAGUUGUCAAUAAAGCGUUGAUCCGAGGAUGUCCGAAUGGGGAAACCCAGGCGAUGAAUGCCGCCUAUCCGCUUCUGAAUUCAUAGGAAGCGAGAAGCCCACGCAGGGAAGUGAAACAUCUCAGUACCUGCAGGAAGAGAAAACAAAAGUGAUUCCGUGAGUAGUGGCGAGCGAAAGCGGAUGGGGCUAAACCGUAUGUGUGUGAUACCCGGCAGGGGUUGCAGGCUUGGGGUUGUGGGACGUGUCUGAUGGGUCUGCCGGCUUGUCGACGUGUACGUGUAGUGGUAGUCGAAGUCGUGGUGAGUGCGACGGCGUAGAGGGUGUGACCCCCGUAGACGAAACUGUUGUGCGGCGUGAUGCUGUUCCCGAGUAGCACCGGGCCCGUGAAAUCCGGUGUGAAUCUGCCAGGACCACCUGGUAAGCCUGAAUACUACCUGUUGACCGAUAGCGGAUCAGUACCGUGAGGGAAUGGUGAAAAGUACCCCGGGAGGGGAGUGAAAUAGUACCUGAAACCGUGCGCUUACAAUCCGUCGGAGCCUUUAGGGGUGACGGCGUGCCUUUUGAAGAAUGAGCCUGCGAGUUAGUGGUCGGUGGCGAGGUUAACCCGUGUGGGGAAGCCGUAGCGAAAGCGAGUCUGAAUAGGGCGACUUGAGUUCGACGGAUCAGACCCGAAACCGGGUGAUCUAGCCAUGGGCAGGUUGAAGGUGCGGUAACACGCACUGGAGGCUCGAACCCAUGUCUGUUGAAAAAGCCUGGGAUGACUUGUGGGUAGGGGUGAAAGGCCAAUCAAACUCCGUGAUAGCUGGUUCUCCCCGAAAUGCAUUUAGGUGCAGCGUCGCAUGUUUCACCUCGGAGGUAGAGCUACUGGAUGGCCGAUGGGCCCCACAAGGUUACUGACGUCAGCCAAACUCCGAAUGCCGAGGUGUGAGAGUGCGGCAGUGAGACUGCGGGGGAUAAGCUUCGUAGUCGAGAGGGAAACAGCCCAGACCACCGGUUAAGGCCCCUAAGCGUGUGCUAAGUGGGAAAGGAUGUGGAGUUGCUGAGACAACCAGGAGGUUGGCUUAGAAGCAGCCAUCCUUUAAAGAAAGCGUAAUAGCUCACUGGUCAAGCGAGCCCGCGCCGAAAAUGUAACGGGGCUAAAGUCUGGUACCGAAGCUUCGGGUUCCCGCAAGGGAGCGGUAGCGGAGCAUUCUCAGGCAGAUACGAGGCGUACCGAAAGGAGCGCAACAGGGCCUGAGAAGAGCUUAUGCAGGCAUGAGUAGCGAUAAACCGGGUGAGAAACCCGGUCGCCGUAAGCCCAAGGUUUCCUGGGGAAGGAUAAUCCUCCCAUGGGUUAGUCGAUUCCUAAGCCGAGGCCGAGAGGCGUAGGUGAUGGAAAGCAGGUUAAUAUUCCUGCACCACCAAGGAUGGCGUUGAAGCAAGCGGGGACGGAGAAGGGUAGCCCAGCACGGCGCAUGGUCGUCCGUGUUCAAGCCCGUAGGCUGAGCUGUUAGGACCCGAUAGGGACAAACGACGGUUCGCUAGGCCGAGAGGUGAUGAGGUCCGGCCCUAGGCCGAGAAACUGAGUGAUCCCAAGCUUCCAAGAAAAGCCGCGUGCAGAGCCUCUUUGGUGAUCGUACUGCAAACCGACUCAGGUGGGCGGGAAGAAUAUUCCAAGGCGCGUGAGAGAACCCCGGUUAAGGAACUCGGCAAAUUGACACCGUAACUUCGGAAGAAGGUGUACCCCUAGUAGGUGAAGUUGUACAAACGGAGCCCAAUGGGGUCGCAGAGAAUCGGUGGCUGCGACUGUUUAAUAAAAACACAGCACUCUGCAAAGACGAAAGUCGACGUAUAGGGUGUGACGCCUGCCCGGUGCUGGAAGAUUAAAUGAUGGGGUGCAAGCUCUUGAUUGAAGUCCCAGUAAACGGCGGCCGUAACUAUAACGGUCCUAAGGUAGCGAAAUUCCUUGUCGGGUAAGUUCCGACCUGCACGAAUGGAGUAACGACUUCCCCGCUGUCUCAACCAUGAACUCGGCGAAAUUGCAUUACGAGUAAAGAUGCUCGUUACGCGCAGAAGGACGGAAAGACCCCGAGACCUUUACUAUAGUUUGGUAUUGGUGUUCGGUGUGGCUUGUGUAGGAUAGGUGGGAGACUGUGAAGCCGGCACGCCAGUGCUGGUGGAGUCAUCGUUGAAAUACCACUCUGGUCACUCUGGACAUCUAACUUCGGCCCGUGAUCCGGGUCAGGGACAGUGCCUGAUGGGUAGUUUAACUGGGGCGGUUGCCUCCCAAAAUGUAACGGAGGCGCCCAAAGGUCCCCUCAGCCUGGUUGGCAAUCAGGUGUCGAGUGCAAGUGCACAAGGGGGCUUGACUGUGAGAGAGACAUCUCGAGCAGGGACGAAAGUCGGGACUAGUGAUCCGGCGGCUCGUUGUGGAACGGCCGUCGCUCAACGGAUAAAAGGUACCUCGGGGAUAACAGGCUGAUCUUGCCCAAGAGUCCAUAUCGACGGCAUGGUUUGGCACCUCGAUGUCGGCUCGUCGCAUCCUGGGGCUGGAGUAGGUCCCAAGGGUUGGGCUGUUCGCCCAUUAAAGCGGUACGCGAGCUGGGUUCAGAACGUCGUGAGACAGUUCGGUCCCUAUCCGCUGCGCGCGUUGGAAAUUUGAGAAGGUCUGUCCUUAGUACGAGAGGACCGGGACGGACGAACCUCUGGUAUGUCAGUUGUACCGCCAGGUGCAUGGCUGAUUAGCUACGUUCGGGAUGGAUAACCGCUGAAAGCAUCUAAGCGGGAAGCCCACCUUAAGAUUAGAUUUCCCUAAAGAGCCGUUGU
rnacentral:rRNA from 1 species